UGACCCAGAUCUGUCAAGGACCGUGGGGUGGCUGUCUGUGCACCAGUCUCCCCACGUUAAACAAAGUCACGCACAGGUGUCCUCCAUGAGAGGACAGUCAUACACGUUUCGAGUGACCACCGAUGAUAAUGAUGAAAAUCCUCA